rnacentral:misc_RNA from 1 species
GUGAUCAUCAAAUUUUUGAACGCAAAUUGCACUCUCCUCGGAGAGUAUGCCUGCUUGAGGGUCAGCCUAUAAAAAUCGACAUCGUUGCUGUUUCGCGGUGGCGUUUGUCGGAAAUUGGGUCAUCUUAAAUCCUUUUGAUUUAAGCGACUUAAAAUUUCCUUUUGGUUCAUGGAAGGUUUUUAGAUCUUAUUUCUUAAAAGGUUAAAGGAAUGGUU